CGGGUGAGUAACACGUGGAUAACCUACCUAUAAGACUGGGAUAACUUCGGGAAACCGGAGCUAAUACCGGAUAAUAUUUUGAACCGCAUGGUUCAAAAGUGAAAGACGGUCUUGCUGUCGCUUAUAGAUGGAUCCGCGCUGCAUUAGCUAGUUGGUAAGGUAACGGCUUACCAAGGCAACGAUGCAUAGCCGACCUGAGAGGGUGAUCGGCCACACUGGAACUGAGACACGGCCCAG
rnacentral:rRNA from 1 species